AGGUGGCAAGCGUUAUCCGGAUUUACUGGGUGUAAAGGGCGUGUAGGCGGGACUGCAAGUCAGAUGUGAAAACCACGGGCUCAACCUGUGGCCUGCAUUUGAAACUGUAGUUCUUGAGUACUGGAGAGGCAGACGGAAUUCCUAGUGUAGCGGUGAAAUGCGUAGAUAUUAGGAGGAACACCAGUGGCGAAGGCGGUCUGCUGGACAGCAACUGACGCUGAGGCGCGAAAGCGUGGGGAGCAAACAGGAUUAGAUACCCUGGUAGUCCACGCUGUAAACGAUGGAUACUAGGUGUGGGGGGACUGACCCCCUCCGUGCCGCAGUUAACACAAUAAGUAUCCCACCUGGGGAGUACGAUCGCAAGGUUG
rnacentral:rRNA from 2 species